rnacentral:tRNA from 1 species
GGGGGUAUAGUCUAAUAGGUAAGACGACGAUCUUGCUCAUCGAUGUUUUAGGUUCGAGUCCUAAUAUCUCCA